rnacentral:lncRNA from 1 species
CACCGGUCCCAGCCUUUUUUUGUAAUUUAUAUAUUUAUUUUUGAGACAGAGUUUUGCUCUUGUUGCCCAGGCUGGAGUGCGAUGGCGUGAUCUCGGCUCAUUGCAACCUCUGCCUCCCGGCUUCAAGCAAUUCUGCCUGAGCCUCCGGAGUAGCUGGGAUUACAGGCACGAACCACCACACCUGGCUAAUUUUGUAUGUUUACUAGAGACGGGGUUUCACCAUGUUGACCAGGCUG